rnacentral:rRNA from 1 species
CAGCCGUAAACUAUGCGCGUUAGGUGUACUGGUGACCACGAGUCACCGGGGUGCCGAAGGGAAACCGUGAAACGUGCCGCCUGGGAAGUACGGUCGCAAGGCUGAAACUUAAAGGAAUUGGCGGGGGAGGCACCACAACGGGUGGAGCCUGCGGGUUUAAUUUGGAUUCAACGCCGGACAUCUCACCGGAUAAGACAGCUGAAUGAUUGUCAAUCUGAAGGUUUUACAUGACUAGCUGAGAGGUGGUGCAUGGCGUAGACGUCU